rnacentral:rRNA from 1 species
UACGAAGGGGGCUAGCGUUGCUCGGAAUUACUGGGCGUAAAGCGCACGUAGGCGGCUUCUUAAGUCGGUGGUGAAAUCCUGGAGCUCAACUCCAGAACUGCCUUCGAUACUGGGAAGCUCGAGUCCGGGAGAGGUGAGUGGAACUGCGAGUGUAGAGGUGAAAUUCGUAGAUAUUCGCAAGAACACCAGUGGCGAAGGCGGCUCACUGGACAUGUAUUGACGCUGAGGUACGAAAGCGUGGGGAGCAAACAGG